UACGUAGGGGGCAAGCGUUACCCGGAUUCACUGGGCGUAAAGCGCGUGUAGGCGGCCGGCCAAGCGUGGUGUGAAAUCUCCGGGCUCAACCCGGAAACUGCACUGCGAACUGGCCUGGCUGGAGUGCAGGAGAGGGAUGCGGAAUUCACGGUGUAGCGGUGAAAUGCGUAGAUAUCGUGAGGAACACCAGUGGCGAAGGCGGCCUUCUGGCUCGCAACUGACGCUGUAGCGCGAAAGCGUGGGGAGCGAACGGGG
rnacentral:rRNA from 1 species